ACACUGGCUGUAGUGUUAAACUUACGGGAAGCUUCAUGUUUGGUCUAAAUAUAUACAUCUAGAUAUACGCACACACUAUAUGAUAGUGAAUGUUGUUUUAAAAUUAAUUAUUAGACUGUGGUGAGAUUAACUAGUGGUGUGUCGGUAUGGAGAAGGAACCGGAUGUGGAGUGCAGCAGCUCCGCUUCAUGUACGGGCGCCGGGAAAUCGAAGCUGGACACAUUGUCUAAAGAUGACCUCAUUAAAUUUGCUAAAAAGCAAAUAGGAGCAAUGCAGAAGUUAAAGUCACAGUGUG